rnacentral:rRNA from 1 species
AGAGUUGAUCCUGGCUCAGAACGAACGCUGGCGGCGUGCUUAACACAUGCAAGUCGCACGAGAAAGUCCUUCGGGGCGAGUAGAGUGGCGCACGGGUGAGUAAUACAUGGGAAUGUACCUACAGGUGGGGGAUAACCACGGGAAACUGUGGCUAAUACCGCAUAGUCUCGAGAGAGUAAAGGUGGCUUAAAACCCAUUUAUAAGCAGUUACUUAGGUGACUGCUUACAUAAUGGGUAUAGCUAUCGCCAGUAGAUCAGCCCAUGUCCCAUUAGCUUGUUGGCGGGGUAACGGCCACCAAGGCUACGAUGGGUAGCUGGUCUGAGAGGAUGAUCAGCCACACUGGAACUGAGACACGGUCCAGACUCCUACGGGAGGCAGCAGUGGGGAAUAUUGCACAAUGGGGGAAACCCUGAUGCAGCAACGCCGCGUGAGUGAAGAAGGCUCUUGGGUCGUAAAGCUCUUUCGGCUGGGAAGAAGGGCUCUGAGGUGAAUAAUCUCGGAGUUUGACGGUACCAGAAGAAGAAGGACCUGCUAACUGCGUGCCAGCAGCAGCGGUAAUACGUGGGGUCCGAGCGUUGU